UGGUCAAGUUAUUAAGGGUGCAGGGCGGAUGCCUUGGCACUAGGAGCCGAUGAAGGACGUGAUAAGCUGCGAUAAGCUUCGGGGAGUUGCACGUAAACUUUGAUCCGAAGAUUUCCGAAUGAGGAAACUCACUUAGAGUAAUGUCUAAGUAUCAUUAAGUGAAUACAUAGCUUAAUGAGGGGAACUCAGGGAACUGAAACAUCUAAGUACCUGAAGGAAGAGAAAGAAAUUCGAUUCCGUAAGUAGCGGCGAGCGAACGCGGAUUAGCCCAAACCAAUAAAGUUUUCUUUGUUGGGGUUGCGGACAUAUCAUAACGAAGAGGUAUCGUAAUUGAAGAGGUUUGGAAAGACCCACCACAGAAGGUAAUAGUCCUGUAUGUUAAACGAGAAGACUUUAGAUAUGAUCCAGAGUACCACGGGACACGUGAAACCCUGUGGGAAGCAGGAGGGACCACCCUCCAAGGCUAAAUACUACCUAGUGACCGAUAGCGUAUAGUACCGUGAGGGAAAGGUGAAAAGAACCCCGGGAGGGGAGUGAAAUAGAACCUGAAACCCUGCACUUACAAGCUGUGGAAGCACAUUUCUUGUGUGACCGCGUACUUUUUGUAGAACGGGCCAACGAGUUACGUUAAGUAGCAAGGUUAAGCACUUAAGGUGCGGAGCCGUAGGGGUGCAGGGCGGAUGCCUUGGCACUAGGAGCCGAUGAAGGACGUGAUAAGCUGCGAUAAGCUUCGGGGAGUUGCACGUAAACUUUGAUCCGAAGAUUUCCGAAUGAGGAAACUCA
rnacentral:rRNA from 1 species